AUGUUGGCGUAUCGUCUGAACUUGCCGCCAGACAACCGUAUCCACCCAGUCUUCCAUGUCUCGCAACUCAAGCCAUUUGUCGUUGACUACACUCCGGUCUUCGCUGAGCUGCCCAAGAUACCCGACCUCACGACCGCGGACCGCGUUCCGAUCGCCAUCCUGGACCGCUGCAUGAUGAAGAAAGGCCACGCCCCUGUCAUCCAAGGAAAGGUACAGUGGAGCACCAUGCCGCCGUCGUCUGCGACCUGGGAAGACUACUACGUGCUCCGGUAG
rnacentral:rRNA from 1 species